AUUGAACGCUGGCGGCAGGCCUAACACAUGCAAGUCGAGCGAGCGGCGGACGGGUGAGUAAUGACUAGGAAUCUGCCUGGUAGUGGGGGAUCACGUCCGGAAACGGGCCCUAAUACCGCACACUAUCAGCUGAGCCUCGGUCGGAUUAGCCAGUAGGUGGGGUAACGGCGCACUGAGGCGACGAUCCCUAGCUGGUCUGAGAGGAUGACCAGCCACACUGGAACUGAGACACGGUCCAGACUCCUACGGGAGGCAGCAGUGGGGAAUAUUGCACAAUGGGCGCAAGCCUGAUGCAGCCAUGCCGCGUGUAUGAAGAAGGCCUUCGGGUUGUAAAGUACUUUCAGCGGGGAGGCGUUACCCGCAGAAGAAGCACCGGCUAACUCCGUGCCAGCAGCCGCGGUAAUAC
rnacentral:rRNA from 1 species